GGGCGGGUGGCGAAAUGGCAGACGCGGCGGCCUCAAAAGCCGUUGGGCUAACACCCGUGAGGGUUCAAAUCCCUCCCCGCCCA
rnacentral:tRNA from 1 species